rnacentral:rRNA from 1 species
UCCUCCCUCUUUCUUCGUGCUUAACACAUGCAAGUCGAACGGAAAGGCCCUGCUUUUGUGGGGUGCUCGAGUGGCGAACGGGUGAGUAGCACGUGAGUAACCUGCCCUUGACUUUGGGAUAACUUCAGGAAACUGGGGCUAAUACCGGAUAGGAGCUCCUGCUGCAUGGUGGGGGUUGGAAAGUUUCGGCGGUUGGGGAUGGACUCGCGGCUUAUCAGCUUGUUGGUGGGGUAGUGGCUUACCAAGGCUUUGACGGGUAGCCGGCCUGAGAGGGUGACCGGCCACAUUGGGACUGAGAUACGGCCCAGACUCCUACGGGAGGCAGCAGUGGGGAAUAUUGCACAAUGGGCGGAAGCCUGAUGCAGCAACGCCGCGUGCGGGAUGACGGCCUUCGGGUUGUAAACCGCUUUCGCCUGUGACGAAGCGUGAGUGACGGUAAUGGGUAAAGAAGCACCGGCUAACUACGUG